AACCUCACGAGGCCUUACGUGCCUAGAGCGGUUCCUCUCCGUGGCGCCCUACCGCCUUCGGCGCGAAGGUGGCUGGUGCGUACCGUCCCGAACCCUAGGAGCCGAGGAGCCCUUGCUCUGAGCUGCUUCUCUGGCGCUAUCCUGGCAGCCUCAUCCCUGAGGCCCUCCGUCUGCUGAGGCUGGGGGACACCCCCAGUCCCCCCUACCCUGCAACCCCAGCUGGGGACAUAAUGGAGCUCUGAGUGCUGGUGGACAGUGCCCCUCCCACCUUCCUUCUUCCCCACAACAGAAGAGACCAGCGACUCCCGCAAAGGGACAAGGUUCCUCCCUCUCCUGCAGAGUAGGCAUCUGGGCACCAAGACCUUCCCUCAACAGAGGACACUGAGCCCAACGGAGUUCUGGGAUGGGAGGGGUGGGAGCAUGGGAAGGGAGGCAUCCCACCCCCAAGAAGAACUGAAUAAAGAUUGCUGAGCAAAGGAA
rnacentral:lncRNA from 1 species